AGGAAAGUAAAGUUCAUAAAAGAUUUAGCUUUUAAAAAAUUACCUUUUAAAAUGAUGAUGUUAUCAUUUUAAAAGUUAAAUGUUGGUUUCCUAAUGUCCUGUGCCAUGACAGAUUUCUUAGUGUAUGGUAGCUUGUAAAAAUAUAGAAAAUAAUUCUAACGUUAUAGAAAAACUAAUCAUGUACUGAACCGCGAAGUAUGUUUACUGAUUUAACAGCGUCCGGGUAACUACUAAUAGGAAGCCUGAUGGGAGUCAACUUUGGAAAACCACAACUAUCAUCAUUAGGCGAACGUGGCUUAGUAAAUUGUUCAUAAACUCGCGUUUUCUUUUAGAAUGAUUUAUACAUACUGUCAUAUUCAGCUACAGAAGUUUGAUAUUUUUCAGUCACAUUUGGUGCUAGCAGUUUUUGCAAUCUUAUUUCCUUGGAGGUGACAUGAUUACAACAGAAAGCCUUAUCAGAAGAUUAAAUAGAGUGCGUAUGGAAAGGUUUAUUAAAAUACAAGAAGACACCAUGGGACAUAAAUGGCAGCUCAAGACACUUUCAAGCAGCAUGGAUGUUAAAAAGAUCUUUUACAGUCUUUGGGUGGUUACUGUAACAAGUAAAAUGAAGAGGUGGUGGCGACCAGUACUACAUAGUAGAUAUGAUCGGACCCUGGAGGCCAAGACUCGGUUAAAUCGGUUGAUAAAAAUUAAAGAAGUGGGGACAAAUGCGUAUGGGUGCGUUCGUGUUGUGUGUGAGUGUGCGCGCAUGCGUUUGUGUGCAUGCGCGUGGGUGCAGGGGGAGGGGGGUUGCGUUCGCGUGCCCGCCCGCCCACUUUCUCACCUAGAUGUGAUUGCAAGGGUUGAGUCCCAUGACUCACGAAAUCGUAAUGACACGAUUGCAAACAAACCAUACCCCGGCCGGGAUUGAACCCGCGGUCAUAGUCUCAAAACUCCAGCCCGUCGCGUUAGCCACUAGACCAGCUAGCCAGCUAUGGGUUGAGUCCCAUCUCGGCCCCGCCCCUCAACUUGCCGCUUGCAAAGUUGACCCAAGCUGACCCAGGGCCGGGUUGCAAGAGUAGCGACUCUCGAAACACACCAGAGGAACAUCAAAGGUAAAGAUACAACUGGGUGAUUAUAACAACCAAACGAACACACAUUCCUACUCAAUUCUCAUUUAAGAUUGUAUUUAAUUCAUCACUCUAAACGAUACAAGCAUGGUGUGUAUCUCCACGGUACAUCCCAUUUGAAAAUUUUGCAGUUCGUUGUAUCCCACAAUUCUGUAAGAGGCCUACAGUAUGGAUUUAUACCAGUCGUUGUCUUAAGCAAAUAAUUUAUAAUAAUUUACCUUCAGAUUCAUUGGAAAGAUUUAAGAAAUUGGUGUACGCGGUGUACAGCUGAAUUUGCAAAUCUCUCGUUCCUUUGAUAACUAGGAUGCUCGUCUCGACACAGAUGGUUUUAUUUUAAUCAUAAGUUUAUAAUGUGUAGUCUUCACGAACUCGAGUUGUAUUUAGCAGAAUAAUAUUUUGACGAUGUUGUAACAGUUGCUAUAGGUCUUUAUUGGGUUAUAUUAAUAAUAAAGGUUAUGGUAAACAUACCUAAGAUUAUCUUAGGCACAAACUAGCAUAUAAAGCUUGCAUUUAUGGAUAUUACAGAAACACUUAAGAGUGAGGAGCAUAUUGCUUAAUACUGCAGGCAACCCAUCACACUCCAACUGGUUUUUUUUCUAAUAAAGAGGCAUCUCGCUGCAUCCUUAGAUGUAUCACAUACAUCUAAUAUCAUGAAACCGUAGCAUCUUAAAAGGUAACUAAUCUUGACCUUGCAUGACGACUAUUUUAGCAUUCAUCUCUCACCAUUUUUAUAUGGUUUAAAUUUCAAAGCCCAGCCCUGUCUAACGUGUAACAUCUUGUACUACUCAUAAUCAAAUGUUUGCUGCCUUCACAGAUACCCACACAAAAGACCACUAUAUAUAUAUAUAGCGAAAUAUGGAUAACAGGGUACAACUUAUUUAGAUGUGACAGAAAGAGCAAGCAACGAGGGAGGGUUGGCCAAUAUAUCAGAGUCGCACACUUGCACAGAGUUUACUGAACACCACAAAUCAUGUAAUUGAAGUUUUAGCAAUAAAUAUUGAGAGAACCAAAACCUAGUGAUUUUGGUUGUAUAAGUCGCCAGAUGCAACUUCCCAACAGUUCAAGGAACAGUUGAAAAUUGAUUAGUCUGAAAAAUCUUCCAUCCCCAGCCCAAAAUAUUUUGAUGCUCAAUGACAGUUUAAGACAUACACAGGGGAAGAAUGUAGCCAGUAAUGUUAGAGAUAAUCCCAGGAAGCAGCUCAGAUGAAAAUUUCUCUCUCUCUCUCUCUCUCUCUCUCUCUCUCUCUCUCUCUCUCUCUCUCUCUCUCUCUCACACACACACACACGCACGCACGCACGCACGCACGCACACGCACGAGCUGCUGAAUCUAAUAAAUUCGUCUUAAACCAGAAAACAGUGGAGCCAACAAUUCUGGAAAACACAGUUGACUUUAUUUUCACGAAUAAUGAUGACCUGGUACGAAAUAUAACAGUAUCAAAGUUAAUUCAGAUCACAACCUAAUCGAAGUUCAGACUUGUUUGUACAGGGGUCCUGACUAGCAAAAUACAUAUAGUCAAAAAUACCUUCAUCACAGUCAACAAGAACCUCAACUGGGAUAAAAAAAAAAAUGUCCUUAAUGAAACAUGCUGGGAAAGUUAUCUUAACACUGAUCUGAACCAGUGUCUUUGAAAGGAUCAGCUACUUGGCAGUUGAAGUAUGCUUAAGGCGCAUUUCCCUAAGAAAAAAAGGAGAGUAUGUAAUCUGGAAAGAGAGCGAUGCACCCUCUACAGGUGAAGGUGAAAAAUCACUGAGUUUCUCAAGGGGGCUCGACUAUCUGAGUAGAAAAGUAGAAAAAAUUGAACUUAAAUGAACGAACCUGGGCCCCAAGUCCAGACUUGUAGAAUUCCGUGUUCGUCAAGAACCAUAGGAAAUCCCUUUCGUGUUCCCUAAGUAUGCUAUGGAGAGGGAGCCUGGACACGGGGGUCACCCUAUAGUCGUUAAAAACAACGGAAGUAGCCCCACUUCAUAAAGGUGGCAGCACAGCAAUAGCAAAUAAUUAUAGACCGACAGCGCUAACGUCCAACAUUAUAAAAAAAAAUCUUUGAAAUGCAUCUAAGAAGCAUGAUUGCCAGCCACUUGGAUUACCAACAUUUGCACAACCCAGGGCAACAUGGGUUUAGAGCAGGUCCGUCCUGCCUUUUGCAGCCACUAGACCACUAUGACAUGGUCUUGGAUGAACUGAAGGACAAACACUGCGGAUGUAGUAUACACAAACUUUUCAAAAGCCUUCAGUAAGUGCAGUUGUGGUGUAUUAGAGCACAAAAUGUGUGCUAAAGGAGUAACUGGAAAAGUGGGCAGAUGUAGCCUCAACUUUCUAACAAACAGAACUCAGAAGAGUAAUGGUAAACAAUUAAGUUGGAGGCUCACAAUGAAAAGUUCUGUUCCACAAGGUACAGUACUUUCCCCCAUCCUUUUCCUCAUUUUCAUAUCAGACACAGAGAUGUUAACCAUAGCACCGUGUGUUCCUUUGCAAACGAUACUAGAAUCUUCACGAAUAUCAUCCAUUGACACGGUAAAUCUCCAGGCGGAUACAAGCCAAGUUUUCCAGUGGUCCGCAAAAUUAUAAUAAAUUUCAGUUACCCCAUUAGGGAAAACUUGAGGAAAUAAUAGCUAGAAUGGAAUAUUCAACAAAUUCUAACAGAAUAGAACGAAAAUCUAAUGUGAAAGACUUGGGAGUGAUAAUGUUAGAGGAUAUCAUCUUUAAGGAUCACAACAGUGUCAGCAUCACAUCUGCGAUGAAAAUGAUAGGAUGGAUAAUGAGAACUUAUAAAAUAAGGGAUUUCGUGCCACUGGUGAUCCUCUUUAGGUAACUUGUUCACUCUAUACUGGAAUACUAAUUUACACUAACAGCCACAUUCAAGGCAGGUGAAAUUGUAGAUCUAGAGAAUAUACAGAGUACCUUCAUUGCACUUAUUAGUUCAGUCAGGAAACUUUAAUUACUGAGAACGUUUGAAAUUCCUUGACCUGUACUCCCUGGAAUGUAUGUGAGAAAAAUUUAUCGUAAGUUACACCUAGAAAAUCCUAGAGGGACUGGUCCCAAAUCUAAUGCAAUUCACUCCCUACGAAAGCAAAAGACUCGGCAGACGGUUCAACAUACCCCCAAUGAAAAGCAGGGGUGCCAUGAGUACACUAAGGAAAAAAACUAAGUAUCUGGGGCCCAAGACUGUUCAACAGCCUCCCAUCAUACAUGAGGGGAAUUAUCAAUAGAUCGCUGACUGUCCUCAAGAGGGAACAGGACAGAUACCUAGAGUCAGUGACCGAUCAGCCGGGCUUUGGUUCGUACGCCGAAUUGCGUGUUGCCUGCAGUAACAGCCAGGUUGAUCAGGCUUUGAUCCACUGGGAGGCCUAGUCUAGGACCGGGCCGCGGGGGCGUUGACCCUCAAAAUAAUCUAUAGGUAAACUCCACCCCUAGGAUUGAAAUCAUAAAAGUCAUAUGCAGUAUAAUGUGAUCCUUUAUUGACAACGUUUCGCCCACACACUGGGCUUCAUCGAGUCACAAACAGAUCUACCUGGGUGGAAGUCGUCUAACACCCAAGUACCUAUUUAUAAACUGUUAGAUAAAUACGAGCAGUAGGUAAGGAGACUUGGCUAUACAGCUAGCCAAACAUGUGAAUCGAGCGCGGUUCCUCUGUAAGGGAUUGGACCUUGACCUGGCUACAUAUUUCCCUGCACAGUGUAUAUGAGUCAGCAGUGAGCAGGGUUCACAUAUCAUCUGGCUGACCUUCACCCCACCAGACAUCGAUGACGACGUCAGGCCUGCACCACCCGUCUGUUGGCCUCAGUGAAGGACGCCUCCAGCUCUACAUAACGUGAAAGGCAAGCAGGAAAGGUCGCACAAUAUGCAGUAUUGUUUUGUAAUUAAAAAAUAAACAACUGUUUUACUUUUAACGCUCGUGUAAUUAUUUUCCAUUUGUUGGUUGACAUUAAAUUCAUCGAACAAGAAAUUAUCCAAAAAUAAACUUCAAAGGUUUUCGGGUGUAUACACAAUUUGAAUAUUUUAUCUUAGUAAAUUGCAUGGCUAAUAAAGUUUUAACUUUUAAUAUUUUCACAUAAGCCUUUUGAGCUUGAACUAGGUCGUCACAUUGUUUUAGACAACAAGAGUAGUCUAAAAUGUUUACUAUUGUUUUAUGACCUACACGAGUUUAGAACUUCUUUUUAAUAUGCUGAUCUUUUUGUAGCAGUUGUAUUUCACUCUGCUGACAGGGGGUGCAAAACUACUAAUUUUGAAAUGUUUCUCUCAUAGUUACCUUGAUAUUUCGUGCUUGAAGCUUAAAUAAGUUAGAGCGGUUUCUUCUGAUUAGGCGUUCUCAUCUCAGACAGGAUGUUAGUAUAAGAAAUAUUGCUUUUAUAUGUCAGAGCUGGUUAAUGCUGUAACAUGCCUCACCUUGAAUAACACUCGAGUUGCGAGUUGCACCUCUCUUGACAUCUUUAGCUACAUUCCUCUCGUUUAAUUUUGUAAAUUCUAUAAGAUACAAUACCAGUUAAUUUCUUAACCCAUUAUAUUUUAACUACUAAAUAAUUUCUCCCUAUUUUUCGUAACUACUUUAUAUAUAGCUAAUUGCUAAUAUUUUAUUGCGCAAUGUUGGCUGUUUUUUUUUGAGUAAUAUAUUGGUGCACAGCAACCAUCCAGGGAGGUAAACUGUCAAUUCAUGCGAGUGUAGAACAUAAACUGGAAAGAAUUCGUCUUUUUUUCAGUCUUAUGAACAAAUAAACAUCUCCCAUCCAGCAUACGCAUAUUUUUGUUUCUUAUUCAUAAUAUUUUGUUCCCCAUUUAGAAGGUCUGGUCUAAGACCAGGCCGUGGGGACGAUGAUUCCCGAAACAAGAUACGAGCAUAGAUAUCAAGCAAAUGUAGUACACUAAAAGAUGGACUGUUGUUUAUUGUCACUGUCUAACCAAAAAAUGGUAAAGUGCCGACACUGUUUUAGGCAUUAAUUUAUUUCUUGUAUAUGUGUAGGCCUGCGUACGUGAGAGCGUGUAUAUUAUUCUGUAAAUGCUUUAUUCAAGUCUAUUCGUCAUCAGAUUCUGUAGUAGUAUGCAUUGCUCCGUUUACCCUUGUAAUCGUUUUUAAUAUUUUAAAGUACCUUACCUUUGAUAUGCCUUUGAUGAGUUGCGAGAAUUUUUCUACUCCCAGAGUCUGGCCUUAGACCAGGCUCGUUUCGGGCUUGCCUGAUCAACCAGACUGUUGCUGCUGGUGACCCGGUGACCCACAUAUCCAUCACAGUAGAAGUGACUUACGACAUUGUAUAUAAUGCUAAAGUUAUGUCACUACCUGCCAAAUGCCUACCCCUCCCCUGCCAUAUUUUCUCUUUAUCGUCCAAAUUAUAAUCGACAUAAUUGCCAGUAUAAACAGAUGGGAUAUGAGCUAUAAUACUUUAAAACUAUAAUAUUUUUUUUUAGGAUUCAAUCCAGCUUAUGGAAGGAUGCAAGUUGUACUUGAAGUUAAUGCAGGAAAUCAUUGCAUUAUCAACUAUUUUGCUCGAUAGUGUAUUUUGUAAAACUAGCAACUGCUCUAACUUUGCAAACUGUCAUGUGUCUGUUUAUAUCUGAUUAGGGUUUCAGGAUCAUUGCUCCCGCGGCCCGAUCUCAGACCACUCCAAGUAAAUUGUAAUGGAAUUUUACAGGAAAAAGAAGAAACAGGCAGUAAGUAAUGAUACGUGUAUUGUAGGAGUUUGUAAGAUAUACGUACUUGUUAUCUUAACUGUUGGUGAAAAAAAAACGAUAAUGCCAGUAUAAAACGUUUAAAAUGUUUACGUUUCACGCACGCUUAGCAGGACGGUAGCUCCUCCUUGGAUGGUUGCUCUCUACCAAUACAUUACACUGGUCAACAACCAAAAUGCUUCCGAGACCAGAGUAGCAAUUUCCAACUAGGUAAGAUAAUGAAUAUCAUGGUUAAAAUUGUUUGUUAGCUUUCCUUUUCAAUAUACUGUACAUCUCCGUGUCACAACAGGUUCCAACAGGCUUGCGGCAGUAUGUUUCUUACCACACUCAGUCUCACUGACCUUCAUUAUUGUUCCAGCAGUCAUAGAAGGUGGUUGUGAUGUGCAAGCUCAUAUUUUGAGGUAAAAGAUGCCUCGUACUUGUGUGACUAGUACAGACAACCUUUGCUACAUUUGUGGUGAUGUAACCCUUGCAACACAGAAGCGCCAUAUAACUGAUAUGAUUAGAAAGGCAUAUCACCUAUAUUUUGGAUGCAAGAUUGGUGAUCAGGAUAAGAACUGGGCUCCACACAUAAGCUGCAACAGUUGUGCUACUAACCUUCAGUUUCUCGUCAGGGAUUCAAGUAUUUACAUCAAAAUUCCCCUUACUGAGGGACACUAAGAUAAGAGAGGGAGUCUUCAAUGGUCCUUAGAUUCGAGAGCUUCUUAAAGUUGGUGACUUUGAAUCAGACCUUCAUGGGGAGGAGAAAGCUGCUUGGGAAGCAUUCAAGUUAGUGGCGAAGGGAUUUCUCGGAAACAGAGGGGAAGGUAACUAUGAAGAAUUGGUGGAAAACCUCAUCAAGGCUCACAAGAACAUGAGAUGUAACAUGUCACUUAAAGUCCACUUUUUGGACUCGCAUUUAGACUUUUUUCUAGCGAACUGUGGGGAAGUUAGUGAUGAACAUUGCGAAAGGUUUCACCAAGAUAUUUCAACCAUGGAAAAAUGGUACCAGGCCAAAUGGGGCACAAGAAUGCUUGCAGACUAUUGCUGGACAUUAUCAAGAGAUGAUUCUUCAGCCCACUAUAAGCGUCAUGCAAAAAGGCAGAGAGUAAGUACGGAUUAGAGUUUAAACCAUACUGACACAUAUUGUACGUUAUAAUAAAAUAAUCAAAUAUUA